CCAAACGGUUCAUAACCUUUACGGUGGGAUAAUUCCUCGUCAACUUUUUUCGCUUGAACCGCUCGACACCGCUUCCCUGUUUAAGCUGUGGUUCAAGCAACGACUGGAAAUAUCAUCAUUCUUGAUUCCACUAAUCUUGGUGCUGACUGCUUUCAUUUUUAUGGGUCUCUCUUCUCGCUUGAGCCGAUAAAGAGAAGGCCCCGACUUCCUACCCCGACGUCACACUCGACGUCUACGAAAACAGUUCCAACGAAUUUGCCAGCACAUGAAGGACCAUCAACGAGUGCCAGAACUAAAAUUUCAUGGCCAACCAUCUAUAUCACAACGAAUGAAGGGAUGGGUAAGUAUCCACCCCCUCUCAGCGUGAUCCCUCGUAUAUAAGGGAAUGUAUUGAAUUUGACACCCCUACCCCCUUCAUAUUGACUUCCCUCUUUCCCCCCUUUCCCAAAAAACUAUUAUAGAGCUCUUCAGGAUCUUUUUUAUUUAACCGAUUUAUCUGGCAACGCAGCCAGAUAAAUCGGCUAAAUAAAAAAAAACCGGAAGAUCCCGAUAAAGCACGCACAACGGCUCUCCCUCAAAAACAAAAGAUGACAUGUCAGUCCAAUUUUGCGAGUUUUCACUUUUGCCGGAUUUUGAUCUGAACUUUGUUUCAAAUCAAAAUCCGGCAAAACGAAUACGACAAAAUCGAACUAGGCUACAUGUCCUUUCUCCGUGGCGGGUGGUGGCCGAAUGAAGCAGCGCCGAGAGUUUUCCGGGGCUCGGCCCGGCCUCGCCUGCCACGCAAGUUGGAUAUUUAACGCCGAUAUGCAUGCAUCAUUCUCUUUCUCUUAUUUCGUCUUGCUUAUUACCCCAACACCUUUUCAGUCCAAAGAGGGUGGGCCGGUGGGCGGUAAUACGACGCAACUGUUUAGUUAAAUAAAUGAAUGAAACUCGAUCAGCAGGGAGUAAACAGACCAAGAGAGUCGGGUGGGAGGGGGUCCUAACAUCAAGACGGACGACCAACAUAUUUUUACAAAAAUAAGAAAUAGACCUGUAUUCCGAAAAUAAAUAAGAUAAAAUUCUUGGGUAAAUUUAAUUUUUCUUAGUCAAUCGUUUUAUUGCUGGGAUGACAAAUAAUAGGAUUAUACAAGUUAACCUAUAUAAUUAUCAGCAAAAAAAAAAUCGAUAGCUAUUUUUUGGGAAGAAAUAUUCUUGUUACAAAAUCAUGCUCAUUCUCAUCCAGAAUUAAGUUAACAAGAGAUUUCAGUUGAUUUGGUGUGUUGUGAAAUUUUAGUUUGUAGGCCUAAUGAACUUCGAUUUUUAAUUUUUUUGUUAACUUCAUAUCAUAACAGCAGCUAUGUCGCAAUGAUCGAUACAAAUACGUAUAUUGCAGACAAUUAUCUAAUCAAUUGAUGGAUAAAUUUAAAUAAAUUUGAUGUCUGCACUUGUUAGAUUGUUGUUAACAAGAGUUGUUGUUAGGAAGAGAUUCUUUACGACGCCAUCCAGCGGAUCCUUACAGAUCCCAAUAUGCCGAGAAAAUGGAUCAAGUAUCGGCCCUGGCGCGCGAUCAAAUGACAAGUCCACUGGACCGUGCCGUCUACUGGAUCGAGUACGUCAUCCGGAAUCAGGGCGCACCUCACCUUCGUAUAGCUUCGCGCAAAUUUUCCCUUUUCCUGCGCUAUCUCUUCGACGUUUUAUUCUUUGUCGUGUUUUCGGCGCUUUCGUUUUUCUAUCUAGUCUUUUACCUCUGCCGGAACAUCAUCUGUUCGAAUGGCCGGGUGAAAAUGAAUGGCCAGAAAAAAAAGACGAAUUGAUUUCUGCAUGUUUAGCACUUUCACUGUUGAAACUCCAACUGGCCGGCCCUGGCGACCCAAGCCUUUUGUUAAUUGGUAGAAAUUUAUUCAGACGUGUUAAAAGAAUGUCCCAUUAUUACUUUUAUCAUAGAUUGUUUAGAAAUUCGAAUUGUUUUCACUCACCAAUUAAAUACAAUGGUAUAAAGAUCA